AACGCCGGCUGUGACGCCGGGCGACCCUUUUCGAACCGAUGCACUCUCGGGUGUGGUUGGUAAAGUCGGCCACUUGACUUGUGUGAGCGUCUGUUUACUUGUCACAUUUGAAUCAAGAGAUCAAAAAAAGCCCCAAAAACGGGGUAACAGUUCCGAUUUGGUGUGAAAAAUGCGUCCAAACGAGUAUUUGAUAUAUGUUUUAGUCCCCAAUUUCGGGCUUUCUUAAUAUGUGUCAGUCGGCCAAGAAUGAAAUAAUGACCGAUUAGGAAUGAUGCGAUUUUAUGUCGAUCGUGACAGAAGAACAAAGGACUUAGAACAUCCCAAUGUCACGUAUUACGAAAUUUGGGCUUUUAAGGAAAAAGUCUGGGAGGGGUUUGUUUUGCGUGGUUUUUGACCACACUGUCGAUAAUCUCGCCGAUUUUUGUUGAAAUCGUUAAAAUAUAUACAAGAAUUUAUCUGAAAUCGUUUAAAGUGCAAAAACAAACAAUUACAAAAUUCGCUUAAACCUAACUUUACACUUAAUCAAAAUACAUCUCACUUCGUUGCUGAAAGGCAAGGCACAAUGUCAUUCGGCUAAAUCAAUGACUAGACUUCGUUAAAGACACAACCAAUCACUGAGUGUCCAACCCCAACUUAUCCUGGAUUUGAUUGAACCGUUCCACGUAUUUGGACAAGAGCCCAGGACUACUUAACGCAUCCCUGAAAUAAAUUUUUAGAUUUUAUGACCAGUCUCAGUGGUUUGCAACCUACAAUUAGAAUUAAAUACGAGCAGGAAAAAAAUUAAAAUUGAUAACGGACGGG